rnacentral:misc_RNA from 1 species
GAGGUAUGCCUGUUCGAGCGCCGUUUAACAUUUCAAAGCUUUGCUUUGUGUUGAGCUUUGUGGUGUUUUACACUACAGGCUUCAAAAUCAUUUGCCCAAGUUGGCUUGCAUGAUGCAGUGAAAGUGUAGAUUGCAAGUUGAACCUGGCAGAUUACCGACCGCAUGGCCUCGGAUCAGGUAGGGCUACCCGCUGAACUUAA